GACCGCGCAGGGCCGGCACUGGCUGCUUGGAGGCCGCUUCCUCGGGUUUCCCACGCUGUCCUUUCCUAGCUGACCCUCCCAGGGAGGCUUUCCUUUCCUGUGAGGCUGGCAGAGGAGUGGCACAGAGGACUUUUCAUACAAGCUCAGAGGGGGUCUAUAAAACCAUCAUGGAGCCGGAGGAUCAACAGUGUGAUGGCAGCACACAGCCCCAGUGAGCCAGUCUUCUUGUCCCCCAGAGGCCCGUUAACUUCCUGGGUUGGCCACAGAUGACUCUGUUCAUGUUGCUCACUGACCCUUGGUUGGAAAGUCCUUCUUAGUUCUUCAUCAUCCAAGACAGCAGCUGACAUCAAUGUAAAAAGAGCAGCGAGCUAAAAAGAGUAGAGUGUGUACGCCCUGAAUUGCAUAUUCAGUUGCAAAAUCAUCAUCAUUAUUAUUAUAAUUACAGAGGGGAGGCAUUUCAAUAAUUGUUCAAAGUGUCUUCUUGAGGAAAUAAGUAAACCAGGGCCAGCUGUCACAAGCCAAUCUACAAUAAUGAUCCCCGUAUGUGCAUCCUCGGGAUUCAUAACAAUCUACAAUAACAAGUGUGUGCAUUCGUCUACUGUCCCUGAACAGCCUAAAAACAAAAAACAAAAAAACCUACUAUCUGCUCUGAUGUCUUGCUUGGUAGUUCACUUGUAUUUUUAAACAGCAUCCUUGAAUAACCUCACAGUCACAAACUGCCAAACAAAAAUUGCAUCACCAAUUUAAUAACAAACAACGGUGGGCAGCCUGGCAUCAAUCCACCUGUAACAGGAUGGCCACAAACCUAGGUUUCUGAGCCAAGUGGAAGCCAGGUAGACGGCUCGGCAGACAACUGAAACCAGUUAAGAGAGAAACAGCCACCAAGACAGACAUGCUUUAUUGACUUGAAGAUCACAAACAGGAACUGGGAAGGCCUUGUUUUCAGCUUACUUGUGAAAUCAACCCGAAGUAUUUCAAUUUUGCUCCUCCCAACAAACAGCUGUGAAAUGACUAAUAGAAAUGAACUGAUGAUGUACCAGGAACUAAGUGUGCCACUUCACUGAGAACAGAAAAGCGUUCCCUGAUCGAGGCUGUCCUCUCAGAUUAAUACCUGAGACAUGGUGCAGAGAAACUACUCAACCAGGCUGUUCUAUAGGCAGAAAGAAAGAAUCAUUGCGACUCGAACUGCCAAGGCAGGGAGAAAAGCAAAAUGGUGGGAAACCAAGCAGAUAUUGUAUGACAGCCAUCAGGGUGGGGAUCUGAGCUGAUCCGGUCAGAGCCAUCGGGGCUGACCACAAAGUGGAUGUCCUUGCCUGAGGUAGCUGACCUUUGAGGGAGCUGAGGUUCCUAGUAAGAGAUCUGCUUUACUAGUGAACAGAAACUUUAAGGCUUGCUCACAAUCCUUCUGUUUGCCUGGCCAAAGUCCUUUUAUCUAGAGCAAUGCCAUUUUGGAGGAAGAGGGGCUCUGGACCUGAAUAGACUCUGCGUGCUGUAAAGAGGGUCCCAGCCAAUCACAGGCACGCUGCUGUUACAGAGAAAGAACCACCCAAGCGCCUUCCCAACAUGUUCUCAUAUCUCAGUUCCUUUGAAUUAUGGUUCUAUCUCUAAUUUCAUGUUCCCGAAGAAACUCCAGAGACAGGGGAAGAAAGAGGAGAAAGAAAAUUUCUUAUCACAUUGCUUUUGUCUCCAUGGGCCACUCAGGCUUUCCAAAUUGGAAUCUUAAUCUUGCUGGAGGCUGGGCCUGGCGAGAAGGGUGAAUGAACUCAAGCUGCUCCAGGAACUGGCCAGCUGCUCUGCCGCAGCCUUCCUAGGUGCUAAGAAUCAUCUUUCCUCAUUACAAUGGCUCAGUACAUUUCCAUAUUUGCACUCCCAGCUAAAAGCAAUUUAACCAGCAGGCAACUUUAUCUCGCUUCGGUAGUUCAAACAUCUCCUACAGAAGCAUCAGAAGGGCACUGACUGACACCGUGGAAGUUGUUUUGAAGUGUAUCUUGCACAUUUUUAAUUGUAAAAGUAAGACAUGACAAUGAUUAAAAUAAAUGGAAAAUGGGUUCGUAUAGAAAGCAAAAA
rnacentral:lncRNA from 1 species